rnacentral:rRNA from 1 species
GAUGAACGCUGGCGGCGUGCCUAAUACAUGCAAGUCGAGCGAACAGACGAGGAGCUUGCUCCUCUGACGUUAGCGGCGGACGGGUGAGUAACACGUGGAUAACCUACCUAUAAGACUGGGAUAACUUCGGGAAACCGGAGCUAAUACCGGAUAAUAUAUUGAACCGCAUGGUUCAAUAGUGAAAGACGGUUUUGCUGUCACUUAUAGAUGGAUCCGCGCCGCAUUAGCUAGUUGGUAAGGUAACGGCUUACCAAGGCAACGAUGCGUAGCCGACCUGAGAGGGUGAUCGGCCACACUGGAACUGAGACACGGUCAAGACUCCUAAGGGAGGCAGCAGUAGGGAAUCUUCCGCAAUGGGCGAAAGCAUGACGGAGCAACGCCGCGUGAGUGAUGAAGGUCUUCGGAUCGUAAAACUCUGUUAUUAGGGAAGAACAAAUGUGUAAGUAACUAUGCACGUCUUGACGGUACCUAAUCAGAAAGCCACGGCUAACUACGUG